UACCAUAUCCUCGAACUCACGGGUGGCU
rnacentral:sRNA from 1 species